CUGUAAAGGACGAGUAUACUCGGAUUCCCCUUCAGAGCAUCUAAAUGGAUGAUGGAAAUUCGAGUUUCUGAUGCG
rnacentral:snoRNA from 2 species